ACACUUCAACUCUCAUGGUUUGCCAUGAUGGGCUUGGACUCUGGGGGUUUUGCUGGCCUCUGUGGUCAGCUCCUCUCAAAUGAAUCAGCUUGCCCAGUAUUUGGGGGCAUCGUGGGUGUGAUAACUAUCUACGCCUGUGGUCGUCUGCCAUGUAACCUUCUGUGAUGGAGGUUUGCUGGGGCUUACAAACGCCCUCUCCUCAGCGAGGAUGGCAUUUUGAAU
rnacentral:misc_RNA from 1 species